UGAAUACGAGACGCUAAGGCGUCGAAGUAGUGUAUGUCAUACUUCCAAGAAAAGCUUGCACUGUCAUAGAUAAAAAACGCCUGUACCAUAACCGACACAGGUGGGUAGGUAGAGUAUACUAAGGGGCGCGAGAUAACUCUCUCUAAGGAACUCGGCAAAAUAACUCCGUAACUUCGGGAGAAGGAGUGCCUUAUUCGUAAGGUUGCAAUAACAAGAUCCAAGCAACUGUUUAUCAAAAACACAGGUCUCCGCUAAGUCGUAAGACGAUGUAUGGGGGCUGACGCCUGCCCAGUGCCAGAAGGCUAAAGAAGUUGGUUAGCAAUUGCGAAGCUGAUAACUGAAGCCCUGGUGAACGGCGGCCGUAACGAUAACGGUCCUAAGGUAGCGAAAUUCCUUGUCGGGUAAGUUCCGACCCGCACGAAAGGCGUAAUGAUUUGGAUACUGUCUCGGAGAGGGGCUCGGUGAAAUAGACUUGUCUGUGAAGAUGCGGACUACCUGCACCAGGACAGAAAGACCCUAUGAAGCUUUACUGUAACUUGAAAUUGAAAUUGGACUUUAUUCGCGCAGUAUAGGUGGGAGGCGUUGAUUAUAAUCUUGUGGGAUUAUUGGAGCCAUCAGUGAGAUACCACUCUUGUAAUGUUAGAUUUCUAACUUUGAAUCAUCAUCUGGUCGAAGAACAGUUUCAGGCGGGCAGUUUGACUGGGGCGGUCGCCUCCUAAACGGUAACGGAGGCGUACAAAGGUUUCCUCUGAACGGUUAGAAAUCGUAUCUAGAGUGUAAAGGCAUAAGGAAGCUUGACUGUGAGACCUACAAGUCGAGCAGGGACGAAAGUCGGUCUUAGUGAUCUGACGGUACUGAGUGGAAAGGCCGUCACUCAGCGGAUAAAAGUUACUCUAAGGAUAACAGGCUGAUCUCCCCCAAGAGUUCACAUCGACGGGGAGGUUUGGCACCUCGAUGUCGGCUCAUCGCAUCCUGGGGCGGUAGUACGUCCCAAGGGUUGGGCUGUUCGCCCAUGAAAGCGGUACGCGAGCUGGGUUCAGAACGUCGUGAGACAGUUCGGUCCAUAUCCGGUGUAGGCGUUAGAAUAUUGAGAGGAGCCUUCUUUAGUACGAGAGGACCGAGAAGGACAUACCUCUGGUGUACCAGUUAUCGUGCCAACGGUAAACGCUGGGUAGCUAUGUAUGGAGUGGAUAACCGCUGAAAGCAUCUAAGUGGGAAGCCCACCUCAAGAUAAGUAUUCUCAC
rnacentral:rRNA from 1 species